UACGGAGGGUGCAAGCGUUAUCCGGAUUCACUGGGUUUAAAGGGUGCGUAGGCGGGCAGGUAAGUCCGUGGUGAAAUCUCUGAGCUUAACUCAGAAACUGCCAUGGAUACUAUUUGUCUUGAAUAUUGUGGAGGUGAGCGGAAUAUGUCAUGUAGCGGUGAAAUGCUUAGAUAUGACAUAGAACACCAAUUGCGAAGGCAGCUAUCUACAGGGAUAUUGACACUGAGGCACGAAAGCGUGGGGAUCAAACAGG
rnacentral:rRNA from 1 species